UACAGAGGUGGCAAGCGUUGUUCGGAAUUACUGGGCGUAAAGGGCGCGUAGGCGGCCCACUAAGUCAGACGUGAAAUCCCCCGGCUUAACCUGGGAACUGCGUCUGAUACUGGAGGGCUUGAGUAUGGGAGAGGGAUGUAGAAUUCCAGGUGUAGCGGUGAAAUGCGCAGAUAUCAGGAGGAACACCAAUGGCGAAGGCAGCUCGCUGGGACGGUACUGACGCUGAGGCGCGAAAGCGUGGGGAGCAAACAGG
rnacentral:rRNA from 1 species